GUGAGGGACUGGGCAAAAGAAGAGGAUGGGGACAAACGCGCCCCAAGAGCGAAGGCAAACAGCUGAGGAGGUGCUGCCCGCAGCUCAGGCUUCCCAACAGGUUAGCUAGGCGCCGAUCCAACCGGCAUUUCGCAGGAAAGGGUGGGGGGAAGACAGCGAGAGGGAGAGUGCGCCUCACAGGAGGACAGAGGGAGGGAGGGAAAGGG
rfam:Procavia capensis cont1.283045, whole genome shotgun sequence.